UACGAAGGGGGCUAGCGUUGCUCGGAAUCACUGGGCGUAAAGCGCACGUAGGCGGAUCUUUAAGUCAGGGGUGAAAUCCUGGAGCUCAACUCCAGAACUGCCUUUGAUACUGAGGAUCUUGAGUCCGGGAGAGGUGAGUGGAACUCCGAGUGUAGAGGUGAAAUUCGUAGAUAUUCGCAAGAACACCAGUGGCGAAGGCGGCUCACUGGCCCGGAUACUGACGCUGAGGCACGGAAAGCGUGGGGAGCAAACAGGG
rnacentral:rRNA from 1 species